AGUCAACCUAUCCUAUGGAUGGGGAUAACCUCGGGAAACUGAGAAUAAUACCCGAUAGAACAUUAUGCCUGGAACGGUUUAUGUUUCAAAUAAUUUAUUGCCGUAGGAUGGGACUGCGGCCUAUCAGUUUGUUGGUGAGGUAAUGGCCCACCAAGACUAUUACAGGUACGGGCUCUGAGAGGAGUAGCUCGGAGAUGGGUACUGAGACACGGACCCAGGCCCUAUGGGGCGCAGCAGGCGAGAAAACUUUGCAAUGUGCGAAAGCACGACAAGGUUAAUCCGAGUGGUCUCUGCUAAAGGAACCUUUUGUCAGUCCUAGAAACACUGAUGAAUAAGGGGUGGGCAAGUUCUGGUGUCAGCCGCCGCGGUAAAACCAGCACCUCAAGUGGUCAGGAGGAUUAUUGGGCCUAAAGCAUCCGUAGCCGGCUAUGUUAGUUUUCGGUUAAAUCCAUGUGCUCAACACAUGGGCUGUCGAGAAUACUGCAUAGCUAGGAAGUGGGAGAGGUAGACGGUACUCGGUAGGAAGGGGUAAAAUCCUUUGAUCUAUUGAUGACCACCAGUGGCGAAGGCGGUCUACCAGAACACGUUCGACGGUGAGGGAUGAAAGCUGGGGGAGCAAAUCGGAUUAGAUACCCGGGUAGUCCCAGCUGUAAACAAUGCAGACUCAGUGAUGCUCUGGCUUGUGGCCAGUGCAGUGCCGCAGGGAAGCUGUUAAGUCUGCCGCCUGGGGAGGUACGUACGCAAGUAUGAAACUUAAAGGAAUUGGCGGGGGAGCACCGCAAGGGGUGAAGCCUGCGGUUC
rnacentral:rRNA from 1 species